rnacentral:lncRNA from 1 species
AAUCAUUUCCAACACUUGGUACCAUUGGCAAAUGUUCAGAAUUGGUAUUUGGGAUUUGUUUGAGCCCAAUUUCGUGCACAUCCAUGCACCCCAUGUAAUUUGGUGUGAUUUUUAGCAAAUGGUAAAAACACCUCUUUUAAGCCAAAUCCAAUUAACACUCAAUUAACCAAACUUAGCAACAUUAAAACACAGUAUAUAUUUCACAUGUUCUGCUGCAAAAAAGCCCUAGCACACUUUCACCAAAACAGACCAAAUUUC